AUGGAGCGCUGUUGGUUGGCGACGACGCACUUGACACAGUUGGUCGCUGCUGCCGGGAAGAAGAAGGGCAAAGGGGAUGGGGUCGCCGUCGGCCUCGCUAGGCACGGCUGCAGGCUGGUCCUGGUGGGCGACGAGGGCGCCCUGGCCGCGACAGUGGAGGAGGCGCGGCGCAGCGCGGCGGCCGUCAAGUUCCGCGGCAUGGAGGCGGACAUCAAGUUCGUCUUGGACGACUACAGGGAGGACAUCGGCAAGAUGAGUGUCUUAAGCAAGGAGGAGCUGGUGCAGGUGUUGCGGCGGCACGGUAGCUCCAGUUUCCGCGGUGUCACCCUGCACAAGUGCGGCAAGUGGGAGGCCACCCCGCCUUCGUGUGCCAUUGCCCGAGGCUUUACCGGUAGCGAAGAUGGGAAGGGUCACGACAUUAGGGGGUCUGCCGGCGGGGGGCUGUCAAACGUUUUUUUGCGCCGAUCAUUCCAAGUGCUCAAAGUUGCCCUCUUCUUUUAG
rnacentral:rRNA from 1 species